GUGCUCAUUUCGACAGCACAUAUACUAAUUGGAACGACACAGAGAAGAUUAGCAUGGCCCCUGCUCAAGGAUGACACACAAAUUCAUGUUGGUGGCUAUAGGAGA
rnacentral:snRNA from 1 species